CGAAACCCAAGCUUACAAUUAUCUUGGUUUCGGUGCGCUUAUAGAUAUAGAUCUAAUAGGGCGUAUAUCCUGUUUACUCCUACAACCUUGAUCCAGAUCCUUGCUCCACCGAUUCUCGUUCUGCCAUGGCAAGUACUAACAGAUACAGCUGGCUGAUCCCAGCUGUGAUCCUGCUCCUGCUGACCCUUGACCACACAUCGCUGGCCAAGCCGAAUUCGCCGCCAAUCCAUGUGCCAGGAUGACAUCAUCAAGGACGACGGAUUCAUCCUCAUCACUCCCAUAAUCGGACAGACCAAGUGCUCCAACCCUUUGCACCGCUGCUGUCAGGUGAAAAACAAGGAGGAUAACAACCAAUCAUAAUCUCACGAAUCGUACUGGACUACAUAAAGAAAUGUUUUCAAUUUUCGGAUUUUAAUCUAUUAAUUUAAGUUG